AACAGGUGCCCGCUUGCGGUCGGUUUACAGGUGGUGGCAUGGUUGUCGUCAGCUCGUGUCGUGAGAUGUUGGGUUAAGUCCCGCAACGAGCGCAACCCUCGACCUUAGUUGCCAGCAUUCAGUUGGGCACUCUAAGGUGACUGCCGGCUAAAAGUCGGAGGAAGGUGGGGAUGACGUCAAAUCAUCAUGCCCUUAUGACCUGGGCUACACACGUGCUACAAUGGGCGGUACAAAGGGUCGCGAACCCGCGAGGGGGAGCCAAUCCCAAAAAGCCGCUCUCAGUUCGGAUUGCAGGCUGCAACUCGCCUGCAUGAAGCCGGAAUCGCUAGUAAUCGCGGAUCAGCAUGCCGCGGUGAAUACGUUCCCGGGCCUU
rnacentral:rRNA from 1 species